rnacentral:rRNA from 1 species
AGAGUUCGAUCCUGGCUCAGGAUGAACGCUGGCGGCGCGCCUAAUACAUGCAAGUCGAACGGGAGGUAGCAAUACCUCUAGUGGCGAACGGGUGAGUAACACGUUGGGAAUCUACCCCCUAGACCGGGAUACCCAGUCGAAAGAUUGGCUAAUACCGGAUAUGAUGCAUUUACACAAGUAGAUGUAUUGAAAGGGAGCUUUCAAGCUUCGCUUAGGGAUGAACCUGCGGAUGAUUAGCUAGUUGGCGGGAUAAAAGCCCACCAAGGCGAGGAUCAUUAGCCGGACUGAGAGGUCGGCCGGCCACACAGGAACUGAGACACGGUCCUGACUCCUACGGGAGGCAGCAGUAGGGAGUAUUCGGCAAUGGACGAAAGUCUGACCGAGCGACGCCGCGUGCGGGAUGAAGGUCUUCGGAUUGUAAACCGCUGUGACGAGGGAAGAACGCGUAGGAUAGGAAAUGAUCUUACGUUGACGGUACCUCGUUAGAAAGCUACGGCUAACUACGUGCCAGCAGCCGCGGUAAUACGUAGGUAGCAAGCGUUAUCCGGAAUUAUUGGGCGUAAAGAGUGAGCAGGCGGGAAAACAGGCCGGAGGUGAAAGUGCGGGGCUCAACCCCGUGAUGCCACCGGAACCAUUUUCCUAGAGUGUGGGAGAGGCAAGCGGAACUCCAGGUGUAGCGGUGAAAUGCGCAGAUAUCUGGAAGAACACCAGUGGCGAAGGCGGCUUGCCAGCCCAAUACUGACGCUCAGUCACGAAAGCGUGGGUAGCAAAUAGGCUUAGAUACCCUAGUAGUCCACGCCGUAAACGAUGAGGACCGGAUGGCGGGCAGAACUCGCUGUCCAAGCAAACGCGCUAAGUCCUCCGCCUGGGUACUACGUUCGCAAGAAUAAAACUUAAAGGAAUUGACGGG